GAUGAACGCUGGCGGCGUGCCUAAUACAUGCAAGUCGAGCGAAUGGAUUAAGAGCUUGCUCUUAUGAAGUUAGCGGCGGACGGGUGAGUAACACGUGGGUAACCUGCCCAUAAGACUGGGAUAACUCCGGGAAACCGGGGCUAAUACCGGAUAACAUUUUGAACCGCAUGGUUCGAAAUUGAAAGGCGGCUUCGGCUGUCACUUAGUGAUGGACCCGGGUCGCAUUAGCUAGUUGGUGAGGUAACGGCUCACCAAGGCAACGAUGCGUAGCCGACCUGGGAGGGUGAUCGGCCACACUGGGACUGAGACACGGCCCAGUCUCCUACGGGAGGCAGCAGUAGGGAAUCUUCCGCAAUGGACGAAAGUCUGACGGAGCAACGCCGCGUGAGUGAUGAAGGCUUUCGGGUCGUAAAACUCUGUCGUUAGGGAAGAACAAGUGCUAGUUGAAUAAGCUGGCACCUUGACGGUACCUAACCAGAAAGCCACGGCUAACUACGUGCCAGCCGCCGCUGUAA
rnacentral:rRNA from 1 species